GACGAACGCUGGCGGCGUGCUUAACACAUGCAAGUCGAACGGAAAGGCCCUGCUUUUGUGGGGUGCUCGAGUGGCGAACGGGUGAGUAACACGUGAGUAACCUGCCCUUGACUUUGGGAUAACUUCAGGAAACUGGGGCUAAUACCGGAUAGGAGCUCCUGCUGCAUGGUGGGGGUUGGAAAGUUUCGGCGGUUGGGGAUGUACUGGAGGCUUAUCAGCUUGUUGGUGGGGUAGUGGCUUACCAAGGCGUUGACGGGUAGCCGGCCUGAGAGGGUGACCGGCCACAUUGGGACUGAGAUAGGGCCCAGAGGCCUACGGGAGGCAGCAGUGGGGAAUAUUGCACGAUGGGCGGAAGCCUGAUGCAGCAACGCCGCGUGCGGGAUGACGGCCUUCGGGUUGUAAACCGCUUUCGCCUGUGACGAAGCGUGAGUGACGGUAAUGGGUAAAGAAGCACCGGCUAACUACGUG
rnacentral:rRNA from 1 species